AUUGAACGCUGGCGGCAGGCUUAAUACAUGCAAGUCGAGGGGUAGCAAGAUUGUAGCAAUACAAUUGUUGACGACCGGCAAACGGGUGCGGAACACGUACACAACCUUCCUACAAGUGGGGAAUAGCCCAGAGAAAUUUGGAUUAAUACCCCGUAACAUAGCGAUGUGGCAUCACAUUGCUAUUAUAGCUUCGGCGCUUGUUGAUGGGUGUGCGGCUGAUUAGAUAGUUGGCGGGGUAACGGCCCACCAAGUCUACGAUCAGUAGCUGAUGUGAGAGCAUGAUCAGCCACACGGGCACUGAGACACGGGCCCGACUCCUACGGGAGGCAGCAGUAAGGAAUAUUGGACAAUGGACGCAGGUCUGAUCCAGCCAUGCCGCGUGAAGGAUUAAGGUCCUCUGGAUUGUAAACUUCUUUUAUAAGGGACGAAAAAAGGUCUUUCUAGAUCGUCUGACGGUACCUUAUGAAUAAGCACCGGCUAACUCCGUGCCAGCCGCCGCCGUAACAC
rnacentral:rRNA from 1 species